UACAGAGGGGGCAAGCGUUGUUCGGAAUUACUGGGCGUAAAGGGCUCGUAGGCGGCCAACUAAGUCGGAUGUGAAAUCCCCAGGCUUAACCUGGGAACUGCAUCCGAUACUGGAUGGCUUGAAUCCGGGAGAGGGAUGCAGAAUUCCAGGUGUAGCGGUGAAAUGCGUAGAUAUCUGGAGGAACACCGGUGGCGAAGGCGGCAUCCUGGACCGAUACUGACGCUGAGGAGCGAAAGCCAGGGGAGCAAACGGGG
rnacentral:rRNA from 1 species